GAUGAAGAACGGAGCGAAAUGCGAUAAGUAAUGUGAAUUGCAGAAUUCAGUGAAUCAUCGAAUCUUUGAACGCACAUUGCGCCCGCCAGCAUUCUGGCGGGCAUGCCUGUUCGAGCGUCAUUUCAACCCUCAAGCUCUGCUUGGUGUUGGGGCCCUACGGUUGACGUAGGCCCUUAAAGGUAGUGGCGGACCCUCUCGGAGCCUCCUUUGCGUAGUAACUAACGUCUCGCAUUGGGAUUCGGAGGGACUCUUGCCGUAAAACCCCCAAGUUUUCUAAUGGUUGACCUCGGAUCAGGUAGGAAUACCCGCUGAACUUAAGCAUAUCAAUAAGCGGAGGA
rnacentral:misc_RNA from 1 species